AGCAUAACAAACGGGAGCCCGGGGUGCCGGGCUGAGAGGGUGGGGCGGUUCCCUCACCGACCGUUAGAACCUGACCCGGGUAAUGCCGGCGUAGGGACUAUCAGGAAAACUCAA
rnacentral:ncRNA from 2 species